rnacentral:rRNA from 1 species
AUUGAACGCUGGCGGAAUGCUUUACACAUGCAAGUCGAACGGUAGAGGGGGCAACCCCUCGAGAGUGGCGAACGGGUGAGUAAUAUAUCGGAACGUGCCCAGUCGUGGGGGAUAACGUAGCGAAAGUUACGCUAAUACCGCAUACGAUCUAAGGAUGAAAGCGGGGGAUCGCAAGACCUCGCGCGAUUGGAGCGGCCGAUAUCAGAUAGGUAGUUGGUGGGGUAAAGGCCCACCAAGCCAAAGAUCUGUAGCUGGUCUGAGAGGACGACCAGCCACACUGGAACUGAGACACGGUCCAGACUCCUACGGGAGGCAGCAGUGGGGAAUUUUGGACAAUGGGCGAAAGCCUGAUCCAGCCAUUCCGCGUGCAGGAUGAAGGCCCUCGGGUUGUAAACUGCUUUUGUACAGAACGAAAAGGUUUCUACUAAUACUAGGAGCUCAUGACGGUACUGUAAGAAUAAGCACCGGCUAACUACGUGCCGGCAGCCGCCGUAA